CUUGGUCAUUUAGAGGAAGUAAAAGUCGUAACAAGGUCUCCGUUGGUGAACCAGCGGAGGGAUCAUUACAGAGUUGCAAAACUCCCUAAACCAUUGUGAACGUUACCUAAACCGUUGCUUCGGCGGGCGGCCCGGGUCCUUCCCGGCGCCCCUCGGCCCUCGCGGGCGCCCGCCGGAGGUAAACCAAAUUAUUGCAUUGUAUGGCCUCUCUGAGUCUUCUGUACUGAAUAAGUCAAAACUUUCAACAACGGAUCUCUUGGUUCUGGCAUCGAUGAAGAACGCAGCGAAAUGCGAUAAGUAAUGUGAAUUGCAGAAUUCAGUGAAUCAUCGAAUCUUUGAACGCACAUUGCGCCCGCCAGUAUUCUGGCGGGCAUGCCUGUUCGAGCGUCAUUUCAACCAUCAAGCCCCGGGCUUGUGUUGGGGACCUGCGGCUGCCGCAGGCCCUGAAAUGCAGUGGCGGGCUCGCUGUCACUCCGAGCGUAGUAGUUACAUCUCGCUCUGGGCGUGCUGCGGGUUCCGGCCGUUAAAAGCCUUAUUUACCCAAGGUUGACCUCGGAUCAGGUAGGACACCCGCUGAACUUAAGCAUAUCAAUAAGCGGAGGA
rnacentral:rRNA from 1 species